CCAUGUUUGUUUCUGAUGAGCCUAUCAAAUAUUCUUUUGUGGCUGCGUGGAUUCAUCUCUUUUAGUAGAGUAUAUGGUGUUCAUUUCAGAAUAUUGACUUCUUAUUCAUAUGGAUAGCGGGGUUUUGUUAUAGCUUUGGUUGCUUAAUUUAGUGAAAAAUGUUACGGUGGUUGGCAACUUUACAUAUUUUAGGUUGUCCAAUAUGAGUUUUAGAUCGAUCUGGUUAAAUCAUAAUAGGACUUGUUUAUGCUUUGGGUGUCAUAUUUGAGCGCGACACACAUUGAUUGCUAUUUUGGCACCUACAUAUGCAUCUUUUUCCAUGAGUAUCUCUCAUUGUUAAAACUAUGACUUGAAUUGUUUAAUCGUUUUUCUACUAAUUAAGUAUCGUAGAAUGUUAUCUAGUCAGUAUUCUCAUUUGUGCUAUAUUAAUUAAUUGUUCUUUUGGAUUAUUGCAUGAGUGUUUCCCUAAUGCUAGUAUUCUAUUUUGCUUACUAUUUACUAAAAUUUUAUCUGAUAUUGUUUAGUUGACCAACCUGCAAGAACAUUAGCAAAAUUUUAUCUGAUAUUCCUUUCGUCUAAAGAGCUCAUUACACCAAAAGAGGCCUUUAGCGGCGCAUAUAGCGGCGUUUUAAAGCAAAACGCCACAAAAAACCGAGCAAUAGCGGCGAGUGUUAAAAAACGCCGGCAAUUACAAGAAACAGCGGCGAUUACCCAAAAGCGCCGCAAAUGAGUUAGGUAAACGGUACCGUUUUCAUGGUCAGAUUCAAAGACAUUAGUGGCGCUUUAAAGAAAACGCCGCAAAAGUGAUUAACAGACGAUGCCGUAUUAAUUUACGUUUGAUGACAUUAGUGGCGUUUAUAAGUAAACGCCGAAAAAGAUCAUGUAUUCGCGGCGCGUUCACAAAAGCGCCGCAAAUCUGAUUAACAGACGACGACUUGUUUGAUUUACGUUUGAUGACAUUAGUGGCGUUUUCGCGAAGCGCCACAAAGUUUUUCACCGAACGACGCCGUUUUCUUGUUAAAUUUUAGACAGAAAUAGUGGCGUUUUAAAUGAAGCGCCGCUGAAGCCAAUCAUUAGCGGCGCAAAAACGGAAGCGCCGGAAAAUGUUUCAAGCAUACGCCGUCUUAGGGACAAUAGUAGCAGCGCUUUACUGGAACGCCACAAAAGAUUUUACCGAACGACAUCGUUUUCGUGUUGAGUUUUAUACACUAUGGUGGCGCUUUAAAGAAAUCGCCGCUGAAGUCAAUCAUUAGCGGCGCUUCCAAUUAAGCGCCGCAAUAAGUUUUAAGCAUACGCCGUCGUUUUCUGUUGUGCUUAGGAACAUUAGUGGCGGUUUGCUAAAAACGCCGCAAAUGUCAAGCAUUAGCGGUAAUAGUUUUAGCCAAACGACAAUGGUUUUUUUUUCAGAUUUUAGAGAUAUUAGUGGCGCUUAGCUAAAAAUGCCACAAUGUUCAAUAAUUUUAAUUAAAACGACGUCGUUUUGUUGUAUAGGUUUAGGUACAUUAGCGGCGCAACUUUUAAAAACGCCGCAUAAGUUAAGCAUUAGCGGCACUUUGUUGUAAGCGCCGCAAAAAGAUUUAAGCAAACGGUGUCAUUUUCUGGUGGAGGUUUAGAGACAUUAGUGGCGCGUUUUGGGGAAGCGCCGCAAAUUGUUAAGCAAAACAAUAUUUUUUUGUUGAGCUUUCAAUGCAUUGGCGGUUUAGGGAUUAUGGAUUUAGGCCUUACGGUUUAUUGUUUAUUGUUUAAGGGUUGAGGUUUAAGGUUUAAGGUUUAUAGUUUAUAUAUGUUUUAUGAUUUAGGGUUUAUAUGUUCUAUGGUUCAGGGUUUAAGGAAUAUGGCUGAGUUAGGGGUUUAGGGAUUAUGGUGCAAUGGUUAGGGUCUAAGGUUUAAGUGUUUAGGGUUAAAGGUUAGGGGUUAGGGGUUAAGGGUUAGGGGUUUAUAGUUAAUGUUUUAUGAUUGAAGGUUUAGGGGAUAUGGUUAAGGUUAUAUAUGUAUUAUGGUUUGUGGUUUAUCAUUUGAGGUUGGGGCUUAGGGUGUAGGUGUUAAGGGGUUAAGGGUCAUGGUUUAUGAUUUAUAGGUUUAAAAUUUAGGGUUGAAGGGAUAAGAGGGUUUAGGUUAAUUUAGGGUUAAGGGUUAAGUGUUUAGUGUUAAGGGUUAAGGGUUUAAGGUUUAAGGUUUAAGGUUUAAGAAAUAGAGUUUACGAUUUAGGGUUUAGGGGAUAGAGGUUGUGGUUUACGGUCUAGGUUAUUUAGUAUUUUUGAAAAUUACAACUUGACUUUACCGAAUUUAAUUUUUAAAUUGAUGUUUUAGAAAAAUACAAACACUAUCUACGGAUUAAGUUCCUACCUUAAAUUUUAAUAAAAAACCAUCACUAAAAAUCAAAUUUCCCAUUUAAUAGAAUUAAAAAUAAUAUUGUCAUAUUGUUGUAUGAUAUUUCAUUUUUUUAAAUUAUUAAAUAUUUGGAAAUUAUUUACGCUAGUGGCGUUUCGGCCAGAAACGCCGCAAAAAUGUGUUUAAAAUUACGUAAAACGGCGCCGUUUGGCUACAGGAAUUUGAAUUUUAGUGGCUUUUUUCAUAAAAACGCCACUGAAGGUAUGCUAUAGUGGCGUUUUAUAUUGAAACGCCGCAAAUCCAUAAAUGUUUGUCUGUACAAAAACGGCGUCGUUUUCUUAAAUGAUUUGAACUCCUUACUGGCGUUUUUAUUUAAAAUUCCGCAAACUGUGAUCUUUAGCGGUGUUUGAUAUGGAAACGCCACAAAUGUGUAUUACAAAAUGUUCAGAACGUCACCGUUUCGUUACAUGAAUUUGAAUUUUAGUGGCGUUUUUAUGAAAAACGCCACAGAAGGUAUACAGUAGUGGCGUUUUUAUAGAAACGUCGCAAAUCCAUAUAUGUUUUUGUGAACAAAAACAGCGUCGUUUUCUUAAAUGAUUUGAACUCGUUAGUGGCGUUUGUAUUUAAAACGCCGCAACUAUAAGCUUUAGCGGCGUUUAGUAUGAAAACGCCACAAAUGUGUAUUACAAAAUGUUCAGAACGUCGCCGUUUCGGUUGAGGAACAAUUCUGUUAUUCAGAACGUCGUCGUUCUGCUUGGCGUCACAUAUUUUUCCCCUUUCGAACCCUAAAACCCGUACCCAGCCCCUAAACUCAGCUUCCUUCCCCUUCCCCUUCCAAAUCCCUAAUUUCCUUUCGAAAUCUCCUCCACUCCUCUAAUUCCAGAAAUUGACGGAGUCAUUUAGUUUAUUCGGUUCUUCAUUUCGUCGGUAUAGUGCGUUCAAUUCUUCAUAGCAUUUAGAGGAAGACGAACAGUGGAAUAGUUUUUGGGGUAAGCAUGAACCGGUUUGAUUUCCCUCUUUUUUUUCGUGUUUAGGGUUCAAUAUCGUUAACAAUCCAUUUCGUCCAUGGAUUUAGGGUUGCCGAACACAUAAAACAGUGUCAUUUUUUAGUACGGUGGAAUCACAUCCGGCCCGAUUUACUUUCUCUCCGUCUUCGUUUAGCAUUUUAGUUUUGGCAAUCUAGUCUGCAAAUUUGGUACCUCUCACUGGUUUGAAACAAUACAUAGAAAGGGUAGAUAACCAGAAGAUAAAAUGCCUAGAAGAAAAAUUCUAAGGGAAAGCAUUGUUCAAAAUGAUCCAAACUCGACAGAAACAAAUAGUACUGAACAAUAGACAGCAAUUGGAUCUUCGAAUGUUCCGAUUUCACCUGAGGAUCCUACGGAAGUUCAAACUGAAAAUGGUGGGACGCGCAAAGGUCGAGGACGUACGAUACUUAGAGAGUUAUACGAGUUAGAUCCAGUCGAGCGUGUUAAGGUAUGUAGAAACAGUUUUGGUCAGCCUGUUGGAUCAGAAGCUCGACUUUUAGCAAGAUACAUGGGCAUUUUAGCACGAAAUGCGAAUAUGUUGCCUAUCAACUACGAGUCAUGGCAUCAAAUGCCUGAUAGCAACAAAAACCAAGCCCUCGGUAAUAUUAAGGCGAGGUUUGCUUUAGAGGUCUCGGAUGCUUAUGUAAAGAAGGCAUUGGAAAAAAGAUGGAGAGAUAAUAAAAGUACUUUGAAGAAAAAUUAUUAUAAGACAAAAACAACCCUCGAUGAGAAAUUGCAAAAUGUCCCACCAGGUAUGUUGAGGUACCAAUGGGAAGAUGCGGUUAGAUUUUGGCAUUCGAAGAAAGGCGAGGAUCGUGAACGAGUUGGAAAAAGCAUCCGGCAACAACAAAAAUUCACUCACACAGCCGGGUCGAGAAGUUUUGCAUGUGUAGCUGAGGCGGAGG